UGGGGAAUAUUGCGCAAUGGGCGAAAGCCUGACGCAGCGACGCCGCGUGAGGGAUGAAGGUUUUCGGAUCGUAAACCUCUGUCAGAAGGGAAGAAACCGCACUGUGCUAAUCAGCAGUGCCUUGACGGUACCUUCAAAGGAAGCACCGGCUAACUCCGUGCCAGCAGCCGCGGUAAUACGGAGGGUGCAAUCGUUAAUCGGAAUUACUGGGCGUAAAGCGCACGUAGGCUGCUUUGUAAGUCAGGGGUGAAAUCCCACGGCUCAACCGUGGAACUGCCUUUGAUACUGCUUAGCUUGAAUCCGGGAGAGGGUGGCGGAAUUCCAGGUGUAGGAGUGAAAUCCGUAGAUAUCUGGAGGAACAUCAGUGGCGAAGGCGGCCACCUGGACCGGUAUUGACGCUGAGGUGCGAAAGCGUGGGGAGCAAACAGG
rnacentral:rRNA from 1 species